rnacentral:rRNA from 1 species
UACAGAGGGUGCAAGCGUUGUUCGGAAUUAUUGGGCGUAAAGGGAGUGUAGGCUGUUUGAUAAGUCUUCUGUGAAAUCUACGGGCUUAGCCUGUAAAGUGCAGAGGAAACUAUCAGGCUUGAGUGUCAGAGAGGAUAGGGGAAUACCCGGUGUAGAGGUGAAAUGCGUAGAGAUCGGGAGGAACACCUGUGGCGAAGGCGGCCGACUGGGCCGACCCUGACGCUGAGGCGCGAAGGCGUGGGGAGCGAACGGG